rnacentral:rRNA from 1 species
CAGUCGCCGCGGUAAUACGUAGGGUGCGAGCGUUAAUCGGAAUUACUGGGCGUAAAGCGUGCGCAGGCGGUUUUGUAAGACAGUCGUGAAAUCCCCGGGCUCAACCUGGGAAUGGCGCUGGUGACUGCAAAGCUAGAGUGCGGCAGAGGGGGAUGGAAUUCCGCGUGUAGCAGUGAAAUGCGUAGAUAUGCGGAGGAACACCGAUGGCGAAGGCAAUCCCCUGGACCUGCACUGACGCUCAUGCACGAAAGCGUGGGGAGCAAACAGGAUUAGAUACCCCGGUAGUCCCUGUCUCUUAUAC